GCCCGCUUGGUGGAAUUGGUAGACACAAGGGACUUAAAAUCCCUUGGCCCGAAAGGGCCGUGCCGGUUCGAGUCCGGCAGCGGGCACCA
rnacentral:tRNA from 1 species